rnacentral:lncRNA from 1 species
UAGAAGAUGAAUGAAGAGACACAAGCAAUUUACGUGGUUCGGCAAGGUGCCUACAUCCACAGAGAGCGGAGAGAAAUUCCAUUUUACGAGUUUAUGAUACAAGUAACGAACCAUUUUGGUUCUUAUUGAUAUAGUCAGGUACAUAGUUAAAAUGUUUCCACACCACCCACUAUUGAUAUAGUCACGUACAUAGACCAGAUUCACUAUGGACAUAGGAUGAAAUUCAUCCCCUUUUCCCACAUCUUUCUUCUUUUUAUGUGUAAUAGCAAUGUAUUUCUAGGAUGAAUUUCAUUAUUGGUCUACGGAGGACCUAGUCCACCUAAUAAUUUCUCCUUCUUAUAGAGAAACAGUACAAGAUCCAAACCAAUCUGUGAGCCUUUUUGGACGACUUUAUAGGAAAUUUAAUUGUGCAUAGUCCCACUUAGUCUUUCUUACCAAAUUGAGUAUACAAAAAUAUGAAAAGGCAGUGAACGGGACCGCUCCCCCCAAAAAAAUCACUGAAUUUUUUUUUAUUCUCUUUUCUUUUCUUUUCCAAAUUUUUUUAUGAGAUGAGAAAAAAGACUACU